UCCAACCUACCAUAAACAUAUACUAUAAUCCCUAUCAAUAUUAUUAUUCAAGUUCUUCAAUUAAAUUUAUUUAAUAGUAAUUAAAUUUUGCAUUAAUUUAUUGAAGCUUUCUAAUCAAAUUAAUAAUCACACACAAUUUAUUCUAAUUUAGUAAAAUCCUUUUAUAAUCAAUAUUCAUAAACUAUAUUGGGAAAAUCCAAAAAUAUAGCACUGUCAGACAAAAUUGGCCGAAAUCAACGGCUGUGUUUGCCGGAAAGACAAUCGGAGGCGACUGGCGUAACUGACAGCGGCAGGGAAGAACCACAUCGACUGGCCUUCAACCAGUCUCGCCAGAAAACAGUCAGAAACCACGCUGACAUUCAGCGUUUUUCUGCUGCGUCGCCGAACAAGGAGAGAGAAAAGGAGUUUUCGAGCUGCAUCGUCGUCAGAGGAGAACUGUAGUCGACCAAUCACACAAAACUCGCCGGAAAGACAAGGGAAAGAGAGAGGAGCGAGCUGUCGAUCGAGAUCGCAGCUCCUCUUGCUUGCGGUCCUAAAACAGAAAACAAAAUCAGAGGGAGAGGAACUGACGGCGCGACGACAAGGAGAAGCCGGCGGAGGGAUGGCGUCUGUUGGUUCGACGCCGGUCGAUUGAGAUGGUGGCUGGAAGUCGUAGAGAUAGAGAGAAGGAGGGUUUGGUGCCGCUGAAACGACAGAGAGGAAAGAAAGAAAGAAAAAGAAAAUGAAAAAUUCUCUGCCAAACUCUAGGUCUUUCUAGGUAAUCCGGUUCGAUCUGAAUCGAGUUUGGUCCAACUCAAAGGUUUAAUUUGUUUUUAGCUGAUUUAAAGGUUUUCGCCGAAUUUAAGGAUUUCAAACUGGUUUAUGGUUCGAUUUAACAAUAAUAAAAUAUUUUCUUUGCUAAAUUUAAUUGGUUAAAAUUCACAAUUAAAUUUUUAAAUGGAAAAUCUUUGAAAUUGAAUUUUCAAUUAAAAUUCAUAAGGUUAUUGUAUUAUUAUUAUAAUUAUUGCU
rnacentral:lncRNA from 1 species